GAUCAUGGCUUAGGAUAAACGCUGGCGGCGCACAUAAGACAUGCAAGUCGAACGGAAGUCGUUACGAAAUGGAAUGAAGAUUUAUCUGAUUGAAGUUUUGUAACAAUGGCUUUAGUGGCGGACUGGUGAGUAACACGUAAGCAAUCUACCUAUUAGAGGGGAAUAACAAUGAGAAAUCAUUGCUAAUACCGACAUAAGCUUGUAGUACCGCAUGGUACAGCAAGAAAAGGAGCAAUCCG
rnacentral:rRNA from 1 species